rfam:Danio rerio chromosome 12, GRCz11 reference primary assembly.
GGAGCUGUGGCUUAGUUGGUCAAAGCCCAUCUCUAGUAAACAGGAGAUCCUGGGUUCAAAUCCCAGCAGUGCCU